AGGCGAUCAAGGUCAACGUCAACAGUCAUACAUCUAGUUAAUAACAAUGAACCUGUAUAAUUUCAUCUGUUGUAACGAAUAUCCCCGAUUGAGGAAAAUAAUGAAACCCAAACCAUCAGGAACGGUAUCACUUGAGCAGAGCAUAGGUGCAAGUACCAUCCGUGUUAUAUGCAGAAACAUUCACCUUGACCCCAGGGGGGAUCUGGGCUGAGACUAGAUGACUGAAAUCUCUGGGCGAUGGUGAACACAGAAUUGGGGGCAGCAGAUAUGAAGACGCACUGAGCCACAUGCCGGACGCCCCAAGCGCAGAGAGAGCUUGUGAGCUUCUAGCGGUGGAGACUUGACACACUGUGGGAGAGGAAAAUGAAGUUACUGGACCCACUGAAACGGGACUCAUUGAUCCUCUAGCCCAUGGUGGGCAGUGUGCAUCAGCGGGGUCCUUCACAGUUUUAGAUGCUCCUUCUCUUCAAAUUUCGUGCUCAUCAAAGUACAUAUUUUUUCUGCACUGUAUCAAAGAAUCCUUUGUUUAAUAGAAGACACAGAAUAAUUCAGUAUGGAUCUUUGUCUGAGGCUGAGUAAUAUUUCUUGGCAUCAUCUUUAUCUAUUCAUCUGUCGAUGGACACUAAGCUGUUUCCAUAUCUUGGCUCUUGUGAACAAGGCUGCAGUCAACACAAGAAUGCAGAUGCCUCUUUGAGAUUCUGAUGUCAAUUCUGGUGGAUAUAUACCCCAAAGUGGGAUCGCUGGAUUGUGCUGAGUGAAAGAAGCCAGUCACAGAAGGACAAAUAUUGUGUGAUUCCACUUAUGCGAGCUAUCUGAAACGGUUCAACUCACUAUAGUUGACAACACUGCAUUGUGUCAUUGAAAUUUGCGAAGAGAGAACUUAAAUAUGCUCGCAAGAAGAAGAGAGAAAGAGAAGAAAAGAGAAACCUGUGUGGUGUGACGGAUGUGUUAUUUAUCCUGAUGAGGAGAAUCCUUUCGCAAUGUAUCAAAUCAUGUCAUUGUAAAUAGCUAACACGUUUAUUUGGCAGUGAUGCCCUAUUAAAACUGAAAAAAUACCCCCCCCAAACCAAAAAAGAAGGAAAAAAUGUCAAACUCACAGAAACAGAGGAGAAUGGUGAUUGCCAGGAGCUGGGGGAAGAGGAAAGAGGGAGCUGCUGUCCGACAGGCACAAAGUUUCAGUCGUGCGAGAUGAGUAAGUUCUAGAGAGCUGCUCACAGCCCUGUGCCCAGAGUUCCCAGUACUGCAGCGUGCGCUUAUGACUUGGUUAAGUGGGCCGACCAUACGAGGCAUCAGAAGAGAUCACAUCCAUGUGCUUAGAGAACGUCACGUGUGCUCUGCGUCCUCCACGUAGGCAGGGCGGGAUGGCUGAAGUGGGCUGGAGUCCCCACAGGGUCUUGGGCUGAGUUUGUGCUGACACAGCCCCGCUCUGUGUCUGAGUCGCUGGGACAGAAGGCCACCAUUUCCUGCACCGGCAGCAGCGGCAACAUUGGAAGCAAAUAUGUG
rnacentral:lncRNA from 1 species